GACGGGUGAGUAAUGUCUGGGAACUGCCUGAUGGAGGGGGAUAACUACUGGAAACGGUAGCUAAUACCGCAUAACGUCGCAGGACCAAAGAGGGGGACCUUCGGGCCUCUUGCCAUCAUAUGUGCCCAGAUGGGAUUAGCUAGUAGGUGGGGUAACGGCUCACCUAGGCGACUAUCCCUAGCUGGUCUGAUAGGAUGACCACCCCCACUGGAACUGAGACACGGUCCAAACUCCUACGGGAGGCACCAGUGGGGAAUAUUGCACAAUGGAAGCAAGCCUGAUGCAGCCAUGCCGCGUGUAUGAAGAAGGCCUUCGGGUUGUAAAGUACUUUCAGCGAGGAGGAAGGCGAUACGG
rnacentral:rRNA from 1 species